ensembl:lncRNA
AGCACACCUCAAAUAUUUAUUGACUACUGUACAACGUCACUCUACCGUUUUGUGGGGGUGGUGGAUAUUUAGAGUGCAAUUAGCUUCUAAAAACGACAACAUGUGAAUGUACUUCUUAGAAUUGUAGCAUCUGUGAGAUGCGUGUAGUGGUAAAAACAUUCUGUAAAUAGUCUUGUGCUAAAAGCCAGGUCGCAGUGGUUGACCCUGAGAUGGAGAGAGAUAGAAAGAUUUAGGGUUUGCAGCUGUGUUUGGGGAAGGGGGUCAUCUCGCUCUCACGGACCUUCGAUCAGAGGAGCAUGGUGUGUUACCCUCAGCUUCACCUAAGUUCUUAUCUCAACUUGAUUUGUGGCUUCUCGAGACUGGCGCUAAGAACUGUCGGCAAGUGUAUAAAAACUCAGCGUUUUCACUGCUCGGGGACGUCAUUACACAGAGCACUGGAAUACGUGCUGGUGUGUUGGACCUCCUGCUUGCAAGCAAUAGUUAGAGCCAGAUAUCUGCGGGGAAUUGCUCAUGUAAUCUUUUUCUCACACAUCUUAUGUCAAAUCAAAAAUUGACUCAUUUUGACUGCAAACACUACAGGCCGCCGCAUCUUUCUGCGUCGACGCACUGGUUUCACUUCCUGGUUGUAAAGUCUUGCUAUCACAACUCAGACAGAGACCCAAACGCAGAUAUGAGGAAUAAGGUUUAAUGAAGAGGAAUUCGGGCAGGCAGUGUCGUUGUCGGAGGCAGGCAGGGGUCAGUACACGGGGAUCUCAAGAAUCGACUGGAAACUACGGGUAUAUAACGCUGGUAAGACCUGGUGAAACACACAAGACGAACUGGCGACAAGAACAGGGAGAAGACACAGGUUAUAUGCCCAAGGGAUAAUUGACAAACAGGGAACACCUGGUGGUGAGGAGACAGGGGAAAACAGGUGAAAACGGGUGAACACAAUUAGGGCGUGACACUUGCGUGUGUUGCAGAGCGAUUCACCUCCAGAACCAGCGCUCAUAUUUAAAAGCUCUUCAAUCUGAUCCGUUCUCUCGUAAACAUUCUUCCUUUUGAUAACGGCCGUAUUGUGCUGUGAAAACGGAGACGUGAGACUCCGUAAAGGACGUAGUUGGCAGACCAAUCACAGCCUGGUGCUGCAGGACGCUGCGUCGCUUUUGAUGCAAGUCUAGAAAAAUGGGUCGACGCACCGGUGUUUCAUCGACGGAAACUAUAAUGAUAUUUUUUCGUUAACGACCUUUUUCCCAUGACUAAGACAAGACUAAGACAUGACGAAAAUGGAUCUUUGAACUUUCGUAAACAAGACGAGAUGAGACAAUGUUGGUUUUUGACGAAGUUGUCCUGUCUCCAUACUCCACGCCCUCCCUGCAAGUGAAGCCCUAGGGACUGGUUCAACAUUGCAUGACGGCUCAAGGACAAGGUCAAGCGUCUGGACAGAAAAAAAGAAUGGAUAUUUGGACACACUUGAAAUGUAUGGUGACGGAAAACAAAACCCAGUGUGCUGGAAAUAAAUCAUGUGGUUUUAAAAUCAGUGGGAAAAACACGACGAACCUCAGACAUCUGAAAGCCCACCAUCCUGAAGGUCAUGCCAUGGUGGCUGAUGGGAUGGACUGGGACUGUCUCCUGCCCAGUGAGUGGCAGAAGCUGGCUGCUGUCAGAGACCUGCUCCUCCCCUUUGCAGAGCAUACUAGGAUGCUACAGAGCGACACCAUGUCCUUAUCCCUGGUGGUGCCCGCCCUCUUGGACCUGAGUGCUCACCUGUCCCGCUUCCCCCAGAGCGCUGGGGAAGAUUACAUUUCUCAAACAAUAUGACCACAGGAGGAGGAUGACGCUUAUGAGGAGGAGGAAGAGGGAAGGGAGGCACCAGAGACAUCCCCAUCUUCAAAGUACAAGUCGGCCAUUAAGACCAAAGUCCUCUGUCAGGCAAGAGCUACAAAAGUCCCAGAAACCCUUUGCUUUUGACCUUCUGGCAACGCCAGCAUCCCAAGCAUUUGCUGAGCGGGUUUUUAGCAUAACAGGAGACCUCACUCGUGGUCGGCGAAAUCGAGCAAGGCUCAUUUUAGAGAAUAAAUAACUUGAUGGGAAGCCUCAUUCUGCUGAGGUGGGGGUUCAUGUUGCUGUUAAGACUGACCCAGAUAAUUGUUAAAGCGUGUGUUGUUACACUGUUCUGUUUAACUCAUUUCUUGUCCAUGCACACAUAAACCCCAAAACCCCCACAAACAACGAGCCUACACACUCACGCACACACGCACACACACACACACACAAAACUUGUUUUUCUGUACGCACACAUAAACACUGUUAAAAGUUUGAGAUAUUUGUGAUGUGUUUUAUAUAAAUAUGUGUUACGUUUUAUUUGUCAGAAAAUAAAUAAACCGACUAGACAAAGAAAGACUUUUGUUUCUUUUUGUUGGAAACUGAGAUUUUUCUAAACUCUUAACACAGACUCACACCUACAAGACACAAUUGGCACACACAAUUUUCUUCUCAAAAACACAUUUUGUUAAAUAUAUACUAACUCUUAAUUUCUUUCUCUGCACACACUAACUUUACCAAAACACUGGAAAUCUGACUCAAAAUGAAAUUAUUCUGUCAUAACAUUUGUUUUCACUUCACAAGGUACAUGCAGUCAAACGAAGUACACCAGGUUUCAGAAUUCUGGCUAUUGUUGACAUUAUAAACAUUGCAUAGACUUAUGUUUCAGGUAGCAUGCAAUGCACCAUUUACACUAAAUGUAUUGGUUUGGAACUGUAUGCGCACAUGUGCAGUAAUGUUCACACUCAAACGC